UACGAAAGGGGCUAGCGUUGUUCGGAAUUACUGGGCGCAAAGCGCACGUAGGCGGCCUUGUAAGUUGGGGGUGAAAUCCCGGGGCUCAACUCCGGAACUGCCUUCAAGACUGCAAAGCUAGAGGACGCGAGAGGUUAGCGGAAUUCCGGGUGUAGAGGUGACAUUCGUAGAUAUUCGGAAGACCACCAGUGGCGAAGGCGGCUAACUGGCGCGUUUCUGACGCUGAGGUGCGUAAGCGUGGGGAGCAAACACG
rnacentral:rRNA from 1 species